CGGCGAUCUGAGAACACACGCGCACGCAGCGAAAAAACUAAAAAUGGCGGCGAAAUCGAUGUUCGCGGCGGUGUUUCUGCUACUUGCGGUGGUUGCUCCUCCGCGAAGGGCGGCGGCCGCCACUCACAAAGUCGGCGAUUCGCUUGGCUGGACCAUCCCUUCCAGUCCUUCUACUUAUUCCGAUUGGGCCUCCACCCAAACUUUUCUCGUCGGCGACAUUCUCCUUUUCAAUUUCACCACCGGACAGCACGACGUGACGGAAGUGACGAAGGCCGCAUUAGAUUCCUGCAGCAGCAGCAACCCCGUCUCCGCCGUGAGAAGCGGCCCGGCGAGUAUUACACUCUCGGCGCCCGGCACCCGCCACUUCAUCUGCUCAUUUUCCGGCCACUGCAGCUUCGGCCAGAAGCUCACCGUCACCGUACGAUCUCAGUCUUCUUCGCCGCCGACUGCCGCCCCUUCACCCUCCCCCAAAUCCAGCACUCCCGUUUCGCCGACGCCGUCGCCACACACCGGCCGGCCGCCGAAGGCCUCUCCUCCGCCGGAAACCGCCAGUCCUCCACCGUCGAACAUCGCUCCUUCUACUCCGUCGCCGACGACCGCCCCGCCGCCGCCCAACUCCGCCAACUCCCUCGGCGGUUUCGGCCUCUUCUUCUCUGCCGGUUUAGCGACUAUCGUUGCUCUGAUUUGAGAUCGCCAUGGUUGUUGUAGAAAGUUAGUUGGAUUCGUUUUGUGUGUACUUUAUUUAAUUUCACAUUACUUUGGG
rnacentral:misc_RNA from 1 species